rnacentral:rRNA from 1 species
CCAGACUCCUACGGGAGGCAGCAGUGAGGAAUAUUGGUCAAUGGCCGGAAGGCUGAACCAGCCAAGCCGCGUGAAGGACGAAGGUGCCAAGCAUUGUAAACUUCUUUUGUCAAGGGACAAAAUCAGGCUCGAGAGCCUGACCGAGGGUACUUGAAGAAAAAGCAUCGGCUAACUCCGUGCCAGCAGCCGCGGUAAUACGGAGGAUGCGAGCGUUAUCCGGAUUUAUUGGGUUUAAAGGGUGCGUAGGCGGACUGUUAAGACGGCGAUAAAAGCCCGGGGCCCACCCCGGGCGAGCCGUUGAAACUGCAUCCCUUGAGUGCGCGAGAAGUAUGCGGAAUGCGUGGUGUAGCGGUGAAAUGCAUAGAUAUCACGCAGAACUCCGAUUGCGAAGGCAGCAUGCCGGCUCCACACUGACGCUGAGGCACGAAAGCGUGGGUAUCGAACAGGAUUAGAUACCCCCGUA